GCCCGCUUGGCACAGUGGUAAUGUACGUUAAGAACAAUUCCGCUCUGUUAAAGGUCUCGAAUUAAUAAUGUAUAGGCGUCUCACUCGUAUCAAUACGUACGGUGAAAUGAGAAGAUCCACGGUUCGAUUCCGUGAGUGGGCA